AUUGAACGCUGGCGGCAGGCCUAACACAUGCAAGUCGAGCGCGCGGCGGACGGGUGUGUAAUGUCUGGGAAACUGUCUGAUGGAGGGGGAUAACUACUGGAAACGGUAGCUAAUACCGCAUACCAUCAGAUGUGCCCAGAUGGGAUUAGCGAGUAGGUGGGGUAAUGGCUCACAUAGGCGACGCUCCCUAGCUGGUCUGAGAGGAUGACCAGCCACACUGGAACUGAGACACGGUCCAGACUCCUACGGGAGGCAGCAGUGGGGAAUAUUGCACAAUGGGCGCAAGCCUGAUGCAGCCAUGCCGCGUGUGUGAAGAAGGCCUUCGGGUUGUAAAGCACUUUCAGCGAGGAGGCGUUACUCGCAGAAGAAGCACCGGCUAACUCCGUGCCAGCAGCCGCGGUAAUUC
rnacentral:rRNA from 1 species